rnacentral:snRNA from 1 species
CAGUAUUACAGCUCCUCUAGAAUUUGUCUAGCAGAUUUUCUGGUCUGCACAAGAAAGCCCCA